CCUACGGGUCGCAGCAGUGGGGAAUAUUGGACAAUGGGCGAAAGCCUGAUCCAGCCAUGCCGCGUGUGUGAAGAAGGCCUUCGGGUUGUAAAGCACUUUCAGUGGGGAAGAAAGCCUUGGGGCUAAUACCCUCGAGGAAGGACAUCACCCACAGAAGAAGCACCGGCUAACUCCGUGCCAGCAGCCGCGGUAAUACGGAGGGUGCGAGCGUUAAUCGGAAUUACUGGGCGUAAAGCGCGCGUAGGCGGUCUGAUAAGCCGGUUGUGAAAGCCCCGGGCUCAACCUGGGAACGGCAUCCGGAACUGUCAGGCUAGGGUGCAGGAGAGGAAGGUAGAAUUCCCGGGGUAGCGGUGAAAUGCGUAGAGAUCGGGAGGAAUACCAGUGGCGAAGGCGGCCUUCUGGACUGACACUGACGCUGAGGUGCGAAAGCGUGGGUAGCAAACAGGAUUAGAUACCCUGUAGUC
rnacentral:rRNA from 1 species